UUAUUUCUUAAUUUAGGGUCAGUGUUUUGUCGCUGUGAAUCCUGCAGUGUUUGCCCCAGGAUUUGAAGACCGUAUGCAGUCAUUGAUGGACCACUGCAGAAAUCUGCAACCGGCGGAGGGUGAGACUGCAGUACUUGUGGCCGGAGACCCGGAGAGGGCGCACAUGCGUAAAGUGGAGGAAGAUGGUGGUAUUUUUUAUCAUGUUAACUUGGUGGAAGCUAUGGACAAGUUGGCUGAUCGGCUCGGCGUAAAACCCAUGCCAACAUUCAAGCUCGCCUCUUUUUAGCUUUGAAAAGGACACCCCCAACCCCCAACAAGGUUAAAAAAUAUAUGACGUAUCUGACUCAACCUAUUUUAGUAGAAACUAA